CUUCUAGGCUCUGGCUGAGA
rnacentral:misc_RNA from 1 species